rfam:Schistosoma mansoni strain Puerto Rico chromosome W, complete genome
AUCCAAAUGACGAGUUCCAAAUAGGACUAGAGGCGCGUCAUGGAU